ACGGGUGAGUAAUGUUGGGAAAUUGCCCAGUCGAGGGGGAUAACAGUUGGAAACGACUGCUAAUACCGCAUACGCCCUACGGGGGAAAGCAGGGGACCUUCGGGCCUUGCGCGAUUGGAUAUGCCCAGGUGGGAUUAGCUAGUUGGUGAGGUAAUGGCUCACCAAGGCGACGAUCAUUGCUGGUCUGAGAGGAUGAUCAGCCACACUGGAACUGAGACACGGUCCAGACUCCUACGGGAGGACCGUGUUAAUAUUGCACAAUGGGGGAAACCCUGAUGCAGCCAUGCCGCGUGUGUGAAGAAGGCCUUCGGGUUGUAAAGCACUCAGCGAGGAGGAAAGGUCAGUAGCUAAUAUCUGCUGACUGUGACGUUACUCGCAAAGAAGCACCGGCUAACUCCCGUGCCAGCAGCCGCGGUAAUACGGAGGGUGCAGCGCCAGAAUUAAGGGCGUAAAGCGCACGCAGGCGGUUGGAUAAGUUAGAUGUGAAAGCCCGGGCUCAACCUGGGAAUUGCAUUUAAAACUGUCCAGCUAGAGUCUUGUAGAGGGGGGUAGAAUUCCAGGUGUAGCGGUGAAAUGCGUAGAGAUCUGGAGGAAUACCGGUGGCGAAGGCCUGGACAAAGACUGACGCUCAGGUGCGAAAGCGUGGGGAGCAAACAGGAUUAGACCACUGGUAGUCCACGCCGUAAACGAUGUCGAUUUGGAGGCUGUGUCCUUGAGACGUGGCUUCCGGAGCUAACGCGUUAAAUCGACCGCCUGGGGAGUACGGCCGCAAGGUUAUUAACUCAAAUGAAUUGACGGGGGCCCGCACAAGCGGUGGAGCAUGUGGUUUAAUUCGAUGCAACGCGAAGAACCUUACCUGGCCUUGACAUGUCUGGAAUCCUGUAGAGAUACGGGAGUGCCUUCGGGAAUCAGAACACAGGUGCUGCAUGGCUGUCGUCAGCUCGUGUCCACAGAUGUUGGGUUAAGUCCCGCAACGAGCGCAACCCCUGUCCUUUGUUGCCAGCACGUAAUGGUGGGAACUCAAGGGAGACUGCCGGUGAUAAACCGGAGGAAGGUGGUUAGACGUCAAGUCAUCAUGGCCCUUACGGCCAGGCUACACACGUGCUACAAUGGCGCGUACAGAGGGCUGCAAGCUAGCGAUAGUGUACCCCAAAAAGCGCGUCGUAGUCCGGAUUGGAGUCUUACUCGACUCCAUGAAGUCGGAACUGCUAGUAAUCGCAAAUCAGAAUGUUGCGGUGAAUACGUUCCCGGCCAUGUACACACCGCCCGUC
rnacentral:rRNA from 1 species